ensembl:lncRNA
CUCGGAGAUGAUGCGAUGCACAUGUUGAUAUGUAAAUAGUGAAAUCAGUGAACUUGUGUAAGAAAAUUACAUUUACACCAGCCAUAGAGUUGUUUCAGUGCAGUACGAUAUUAUACAAACGGUUCAAUUUUAUUAGGGAAAUGUGUGUUUGUUCCGCUCCUUCACUAGGAUGGACAACCACAGAGGCCACACCUCCUUCACUGUCACCAACAGGUACAGAGGACACGCCUCCUUCACUAGGAAUUACAGAUACAGUGGACACGCCUCCUUCACUAGGACUUACAGGUACAGAGGACAUGCCUCCUUCACUAGGACUUACAGGUGCAGUGGACACGCCUCCU